CAGCAGCCGCGGGAAUACGUAGGUGGCAAGCGUUGUCCGGGAUUAUUGGGCGUAAAGGGCUCGCAGGCGGUUUCUUAAGUCUGAUGUGAAAGCCCCCGGCUCAACCGGGGAGGGUCAUUGGAAGCUGGGAAACUUGAGUGCAGAAGAGGAGAGUGGAAUUCCACGUGUAGCGGUGAAAUGCGUAGAGAUGUGGAGGAACACCAGUGGCGAAGGCGACUCUCUGGUCUGUAACUGACGCUGAGGAGCGAAAGCGUGGGGAGCGAACAGGAUUAGAUACCCCCGUAGUCCCUGUCUCUUAUAC
rnacentral:rRNA from 1 species